ensembl:lncRNA
AUUCAAAAGUAGUGUUGGCCAACCACGCAUGAUAUAGAUGGGGUGGGUUUCUCCAAUUCUCCAGGGAAGGGCUUCUGUGUUCUGCUUCCCCCAAAGCCUCAUUUUGGAGACAUUCUUUGCACCUGUGGCUCUUGCCAAACUCUCCUGCCCACCUUUUUAGACCUGAAAGGAGAGUGAGGAUCAGCUGAUGAGGUCACCAGAGUACCUUGGAGAUAGAACUCUGGAGAUUAUACUCCUAGGCCUUCUUGCCUCACAAUUAAAAUACUUGAAUCUAUAGAGAUCCUGUUUUCCAGCAUCUUAAUCUCAUCCAAAUUUUCUAACGUUUCUUUGGAAUUUGGGCAGCAGAAACAUUGAAAGGGUUUUAGCCCCCAAAUUCUGUUAUAAUUUUAUUGUUUGUGUUUUUAACCUUGUGUUUGAGUUUCUUUACAAAAUACAUAAAUAAAUAAAACGGCCAAAUGUGGAAUCAGUGUCUUUUACUAUACAUUUACUUGAAUUCAGGCCAUUUGCUAUAUAAACCUGAGGAAAACAAUGCAGUUAUCAGUAGCAAUGUGUUAGUGGAUGCUGGCAUUGUUCCUCCAGUCACAGAAUCCUAAGAUCUUAAAAUUGAAAUUGACCUUAAAGGAAGCCACCUUUUAUCAUGCUUACAAAUGACUGUACUUUUGCAAGUAUUAAAUGCCUGGAAUCAGAAAUGGGAAGAAUGCUCCUUCAUCUUUUCAGAUCUUUAUAAAAACUAUUUCUUUACAGAACCUAAAAUUUAUGUUUCUACUGCUAUUAUUAUAGCUUAUUUCCUAUUUCUUUUCAGGGAUUUUGUUUGAAAGACACUUGUGCUGGAUUCCCUUUCAAUCCAGUCUGCUAGAUUCUCUGGAAGCCAUCUGAAUCUGGGUGAGCCUAGCACUCAGAACCAAGUCUGUUUUCAUGUUUGGGUUACUGACCCAUUUAGGUGUUCAACAAAUACUUGAUAACUGAAAUAAUCGCCCAUCUUUUAAAACCAACAUUGAGAAAUGUUCUCUCUAAAAAUUCAGUCUAUACUUAAAAAUCCUCCCCAUCCCAUUGUUAAAAGCAACUGGUCCACUAUGAACUAUUUUCUGAAUUAGUUCAAGGAAGACUUCCACUGUUGAUAAGGAGAUACCAGUUAUCAGCCAGCUCUGCUGGGCUGAGAGAUCUUUAGGGCAUCUGUAAAUGUCUCCUCUUCCAGAUUUUCCUGGUAUUUAUGACAUUCUUCCAUCUUUUCAUCCAAAGCACAUCGUUCCAGACCUCUAAAACUAGUCUCUUUCUUAGGAAAUUGGGUAAACUUUGUAAGCUUCUUGCCUCUCUUUCCAGGAGUAUAUCACAAACACGGUACAGCUGAAAUCAAGGUAUUAUGAAAGCCUGCCUUAGAUAGGAGUGGAGUCCGCAGUUGUCUGUUCCUAAUGCCUAGCAGCUAAAGAUAAAUACACUUUAAAAGAAAAUCCCACGAUGUGAAGUGCUAUUGAUUUUUCACACUCACUUUCAAUUCCAAUCACAUAGGGUCCUGGUACCUUCUCAUGCCUAGAACUCAACUCCCAGCAAACAAGUAGGGACUCUUCCUUAUGAAUCCUAAAGUAGGCUGAUAACAUAGAGUGUUCAUCUUUAUUUCCCAUUAUUUCUCUCACCCUGAAAGCAUCAUCUUUUAUCUUCUCUCAUCAGCAAUCACAAUACUCAAGAGUAUGCCCCACACAUCACUGCCAAAAUUGCUUUGGGUGGGGGAGAGGGGAGACUGUAAACCCAUUUGUGAUGAGAGAUGGAUGACUGAAGGAAUCUUAACAGGAGAUAUGGAGGGAAUGGCUUCAUGGUACA